CCUAAUGGGUGGACACCACCUGUUCCCAUACCGAACACAGAAGUUAAGCCCUUCAGCGCCGAUGGUACUUGGCUGGACACGGCCCGGAAGAGUAGGUCGCCGCCG
rnacentral:rRNA from 1 species